CCCUUCUGCUGUCCUGUGUAGGAUGAGGAGGUACGCUACGAAAAAAAUCUCAGCAUCCCUCAAAGACAUGGAAACAACAGCUUUUUCAGGAACUCUCCAGCUGACUAGUCAUGGCAGAAUUCUGCCCUGGAAUCCCACUUGUGUGCAUGUGAACAUGAGAGCAUCCAAUUCAAUGUCAGGAAUUUUUCCAACGAAUUCAGGAGAACAAAGCGACGAAUGCAAAGGUUAUGCACUGUGGCGUCAUCACAAACAUCCUCAGCAGAUCAUCACAAACCACCUCCGAUGCCUGGCUGGGGGCACCCUGGUCAUCAAACCAACGCUGGUGCGGACGACGAGCGACCACGAUUAGAAAGAGGGCGGCCCCACAUACCCCAGUAGAGAACCAUCUCUAUGAUGCCAAGUGAGGGCGUGUGGAAUACACGACCGUUUCUCACGGAGGGGGAAGGCAGGCAGGAGCGGGAGGUGAAGGAGCAUCUCUGGACCGGCUAGCCUGCCCGCCUCCAGGGCCAUGGCAUCGUUUACCACGUGUACCUUUUGUAUUUCGAGCCAUAUGCAUACAUAUUAUGCAGUAAUUAU